GAGGGUAUAGCUCCGUGGUAGAGCACAUGCUUAGCAUGCACAAGGUCCUGGGUUCAAUCCCCAAUACCUCCA
rnacentral:tRNA from 1 species